rnacentral:rRNA from 1 species
UGGGUAACCUGCCUUAUAUGGGGGAUAGCCUUUCGAAAGGAAGAUUAAUACCGCAUAAGAUUGUAGUAUCGCAUGAUAUAGCAAUUAAAGGAGCAAUUCGCUAUAAGAUGGACCCGCGUCGCAUUAGCUAGUUGGUGAGGUAAUGGCUCACCAAGGCGACGAUGCGUAGCCGACCUGAGAGGGUGAUCGGCCACAUUGGGACUGAGACACGGCCCAGACUCCUACGGGAGGCAGCAUG